UACGUAGGCAGCAAGCGUUGUUCGGAGUUACUGGGCGUAAAGGGUGCGUAGGCGGCUUCUUAAGUCUGGUGUGAAAUCUCCCGGCUCAACUGGGAGGGUGCGUCGGAUACUGAGGGGCUAGAGUGUGGGGAGAGGAAAGUGGAAUUCCUGGUGUAGCGGUGAAAUGCGCAGAUAUCAGGAGGAACACCGGUGGCGAAGGCGGGUCGCUGGGCAACAACUGACGCUGAGGAGCGAAAGCGUGGGGAGCGAACAGG
rnacentral:rRNA from 1 species